rnacentral:rRNA from 1 species
UACGGGGGGGGCAAGCGUUGUUCGGAAUUACUGGGCGUAAAGGGCUCGUAGGUGGCCAACUAAGUCAGACGUGAAAUCCCCAGGCUCAACUUGGGAACUGCGUCUGAUACUGGAUGGCUUGAAUUCGGGAGAGGGAUGCAGAAUUCCAGGUGUAGCGGUGAAAUUCGUAGAUAUCGGGAGGAACACCAGUGGCGAAGGCGGCGACCUGGGCCAAUAUUGACGCUGAGGUGCGAAAGCGUGGGGAGCAAACAGG